GAUGAAGAACGCAGCAAAAUGCGAUAAGUAAUGUGAAUUGCAGAAUUCAGUGAAUCAUCGAAUCUUUGAACGCACAUUGCGCCCGCUGGUAUUCCGGCGGGCAUGCCUGUUCGAGCGUCAUUUCAACCCUCAAGCCCCCGGGUUUGGUGUUGGGGAUCGGCUCUGCCCUUCUGGGCGGUGCCGCCCCCGAAAUACAUUGGCGGUCUCGCUGCAGCCUCCAUUGCGUAGUAGCUAACACCUCGCAACUGGAACGCGGCGCGGCCAUGCCGUAAAACCCCAACUUCUGAAUGUUGACCUCGGAUCAGGUAGGAAUACCCGCUGAACUUAAGCAUAUCAAUAAGCGAGGA
rnacentral:misc_RNA from 1 species